GCCUGGCUGGCUCAGUCAGUAGAGCAUGCAACUUCUAAUCUCAGGGUCAUGAGUUCAGGCCCCAUGGUGGGCA
rnacentral:tRNA from 1 species